GUGUUAGCAAGAUGUGCUGCCUGACUUCACAGGGUUAAUACAUGAAAUAGAGACUGUGGGACAGGCACUGGCUGGAGAGCUGUCUCUUAUGCCACACCGACUUGACUCUAGACUGAGUGUCAGCCUAGACUUUAUGUUCAACAUCAGAGUUAGAUCAAAGCAGCAGCCAGUCUUGGCUGAAGGUCAGUGAUCUCAGCUGUUCAUCACCAGAAGAUCCCCCUUUGUUGGCACAGCUACCCUUGGCAAACCUGAUAGCUGGGGUGUGAUUAUUCAUGUGUCUGUGUCAGGACAUCAGAGAUGACAAUUGCAGCAAUAAAUGAGCUGUUGGUCUUAGUAA